UAUUAUGGGAAUCGAACCCAUAGUAUUCCGCUUACUGGGCAGAUACCAUUUCCACUAGGCUAC
rnacentral:tRNA from 1 species